UACGGGGGGGGCAAGCGUUGUUCGGAAUUACUGGGCGUAAAGGGUUCGUAGGUGGCUUGCUAAGUCAGACGUGAAAUCCCUCAGCUUAACUGGGGAACUGCGUCUGAUACUGUCGGGCUAGAGUGCGGAAGAGGCGAGUGGAAUUCCUGGUGUAGCGGUGAAAUGCGCAGAUAUCAGGAGGAACACCAAUUGCGAAGGCAGCUCGCUGGGACGUUACUGACGCUGAGACGCGAAAGCGUGGGGAGCAAACAGG
rnacentral:rRNA from 1 species